GGCGCUGUGACGUAGUUGGCUAAAGCGCCUGUCUAUUAAACAGGAAAUCGCGAGUUCAAAUCUCCCCGGGGCCU
rfam:Danaus plexippus plexippus isolate F-2 unplaced genomic scaffold DPSCF300212, whole genome shotgun sequence.